rnacentral:lncRNA from 1 species
CUUAUGUCACAUUCCAUGCAUACAUUUGUUUUGCAUCCUUUGGUCAUUUUGUUCAUGACAUAGUAGUUUUACACAACUGGGCUUUGAAAUAAUAAGCUUUGUUUAACAUUCAUUAACACAAAUUGGUUUGAGAAUGAAAGAUUUUUAAUUAGAAUAAAUUGCAUACACUUGAGUUUUUGAGCAUAAAGUCAAAAUACAAGUCUAUGGUCAAUAUGGCAAGGUUGACUUUAAAAUGCAUUUCAUAGAUUUUGAAUAUCACAUAUUUUACUACAUUACAUACAUUUUAAAUAAAAACAAAAAAAGAAGAAAUUAAAAAAAGGAAAAAAGAGUCUCAAGCUUGUUUUGGCCCACACGACCUCUUCCUUGCUUUGCUAACUUGG